rnacentral:misc_RNA from 1 species
GAAGAAAAACUUAACGUUUCCUAGGGUCAUAAUCAAAACCAUAUUUGUUUGACCCUCUCCACACUUCAAAAUACAUACUUUAUGGAGUGGUAAAAAUUAUUUACAGA